UAAGGAAUAUUGGUCAAUGGACGCAAGUCUGAACCAGCCAUGCCGCGUGCAGGAUGACAGCCCUACGGGUUGUAAACUGCUUUUAUAUGGGAAGAAUCCCCCGUACGUGUACGGGGUUGACGGU
rnacentral:rRNA from 1 species